CUUGGUCAUUUAGAGGAAGUAAAAGUCGAACAAGGUCUCCGUUGGUGAACCAGCGGAG
rnacentral:rRNA from 1 species